CGGGGCGUAGCGCAGCCCGGUAGCGCACCCGUCUGGGGGGCGGGUGGUCGCUGGUUCAAAUCCAGUCGCCCCGACCA
rnacentral:tRNA from 1 species